AGGCACCUGCUCUUUUUUAUGUAAAUGGCAAGGAGAGUGCGUUGGAUUUCCUCUUGCACUGGAACGGGCAAAAGCUGCAUGACUGUUCCGGCUGUUUGCCGCAUUCGUACCGGAGAUGCUGCAUCAGAUGUGACUUCCUCUUGUAGCUCCUGUCGCAAUUUUGGCAAAAGUGUCUAGCUAUAAAUGAAAAA
rnacentral:lncRNA from 1 species